rnacentral:rRNA from 1 species
CCUACGGGGGGCAGCAGUGGGGAAUAUUGCACAAUGGGCGCAAGCCUGAUGCAGCCAUGCCGCGUGUGUGAAGAAGGCCUUCGGGUUGUAAAGCACUUUCAGCGGGGAGGAAGGCGUUAAGGUUAAUAACCUUGUCGAUUGACGUUACCCGCAGAAGAAGCACCGGCUAACUCCGUGCCAGCAGCCGCGGUAAUACGGAGGGUGCAAGCGUUAAUCGGAAUUACUGGGCGUAAAGCGCACGCAGGCGGUCUGUCAAGUCGGAUGUGAAAUCCCCGGGCUCAACCUGGGAACUGCAUUCGAAACUGGCAGGCUAGAGUCUUGUAGAGGGGGGUAGAAUUCCAGGUGUAGCGGUGAAAUGCGUAGAGAUCUGGAGGAAUACCGGUAGCGAAGGCGGCCCCCUGGACAAAGACUGACGCUCAGGUGCGAAAGCGUGGGGAGCAAACAGGAUUAGAUACCCUAGUAGUC